GUGGGUGAGGGAGGGAGGGAGGGAGGGGCUUUUGGGUGGUUGGCUGGUUAAAAAUGGGUUUAUUUUCAUUUUUUCUCAUUUUCCUCAUUUCCCCCCCAGGGAUGUUGUUUAACAACAUAAAAGGGCAGGGGUGCAACUGCAGGGUGUUUACCCUUUCUUUCCCCUUUCUCAAUGCGGGGGCGAAGUGUCUGAGUGCCUGAGUGUCUGGAUGACUGGAUGACUGGAUGACUGGAUGACUGGAUGACUGGAUGACUGGAUAACUGGAUUGAUGAAUCAGGCAAACUCCGCAGACAGCUAGAUAGAUAGAUAGAUCGGAUAGAUGAGAUAGGAAAGCCUAAUAAGAAGUAGUUAAUUAG
rnacentral:sRNA from 1 species